UACGAAGGGGGCUAGCGGUGUUCGGAAUCACUGGGCGUAAAGCGUACGUAGGCGGAUGAAUAAGUCAGGGGUGAAAGCCUGGAGCUCAACUCCAGAACUGCCUUUGAUACUGUUUGUCUUGAGUCCGGGAGAGGUGAGUGGAACUGCUAGUGUAGAGGUGAAAUUCGUAGAUAUUAGCAAGAACACCAGUGGCGAAGGCGGCUCACUGGCCCGGUACUGACGCUGAGGUACGAAAGCGUGGGGAGCAAACAGG
rnacentral:rRNA from 1 species